rnacentral:rRNA from 1 species
CAGCCGCCGCGGGAACACCGAGGGUGCGAGCGUUAAUCGGAAUUACUGGGCGUAAAGGGCGCGUAGGCGGUUAGGAAGGUGUGAUGUGAAAGCCCUGGGCUUAACCUAGGAAGUGCAUCGCAAACCAACUAGCUGGAGUAUAAGAGAGGGUGGCGGAAUUUCCGGUGUAGCGGUGAAAUGCGUAGAGAUCGGAAGGAACGUCAAUGGCGAAGGCAGCCACCUGGCUUAAUACUGACGCUGAGGCGCGAAAGCGUGGGGAGCGAACAGGACUAGAUACCCCGGUAGUCCCUGUCUCUUAUAC